rnacentral:lncRNA from 1 species
AACUCUAUAAGGGAGAACAUAUCUGGGACUCAUCUUUCCUUUCUUUCCAAAUCUUUUCACCCCUUUCAUGGGUGAAAUUUUCAAAUACCCUAAAUUAACUUAACUUUCUCCAUAACCUCAAAUACAGUAUCAGUUUGAAUCACAGCAUCUUCACCCACUUUGAACCAACCUAUGGGUGAUCUACAUCUUCUCCCAUAGAAAGCUUCAAAUGGAG